rnacentral:rRNA from 1 species
AUUAAAAACCAAUGCCCUUCGGGGCUCUCUGGUGAUUCAUAAUAACUUCUCGAAUCGCACGGCCUUGCGCCGGCGAUGGUUCAUUCAAAUUUCUGCCCUAUCAACUUUCGACGGCUGGGUCUUGGCCAGCCGUGGUGACAACGGGUAACGGAGGGUUAGGGCUCGACCCCGGAGAAGGAGCCUGAGAAACGGCUACUACAUCCAAGGAAGGCAGCAGGCGCGCAAAUUACCCAAUCACGACACGGGGAGGUAGUGACAAUAAAUACUGAUACAGGGCUCUUUCGGGUCUUGUAAUUGGAAUGAGUACAAUUUAAAUCCCUUAACGAGGAACAAUUGGAGGGCAAGUCUGGUGCCAGCAGCCGCGGUAAUUCCAGCUCCAAUAGCGUAUAUUAAAGUUGUUGAGGUUAAAAAGCUCGUAGUUGAACCUUGGGCCUAGCCGGCCGGUCCGCCUCACCGCGUGCACUGGCUCGGCUGGGUCUUUCCUUCUGGAGAACCGCAUGCCCUUCACUGGGUGUGCC